UCUCCUCCUCCCAUUUCUCUCUUUUCUUUCUUUUUCUUCUUCUUUCUUCUCUUCAUUACCAUAACUGAACCAUCUUCUUCUCCCUAAUCAAACACUUAUGUUUCUUCACCAAAAUAAGAUAUUAUGGAGCACUAAAGGCAUAUUCCACGGUUUUGAAGUUUAUUUUGCAAGAUCAAACAUUUAAGAAGGGAGAGACCUCCAAGUCCAAAGGAAAGGAGAAGAUUGGAGCAUAAAAAGAUUGAGGUUGCUGAAUCGGGGUAGGUGAUCCACAGUAGAAUCAAACUAUUCAGAGGCCUCUUAUUUCACUGCAGUUAGUUUUCAAUGGUGUCUCUUUUAUUUUUUUAGUCUUUAGAAAAAGCUAGCGGCAUGUAAAUAUAAUUAAGGCACUAGAAUAUUUUUAUUUAA